rnacentral:lncRNA from 1 species
UGAUAAUAGACUCAAGACGAGGAAAAUGCAGCAAGGAAGCGAGGUAAGGAGCUAAAAUGAAGAAGAAAUAACAUGAUGAAAGAGCUUUGGUAUAUGCAUUCAAAGGACAAAUUUAGCCUUGAAGAGCUUGAAUAUUUGGAUGCUAGUAUGAAGAACUUGUGGAAUGAUGUUGCUGAACUUUUAAAGAAGCUAAAGAAGGAACAAGGGAACUCGAGCUUUACCAAGGGUUUUCCAAGGGAUGAC